CUCGUAUCCUGUGGUGUCACUUGGGCAUCUUGGAUCUAUGUGACCUAUGGUCAGAUCUACAGGUAACUUGUCCUCUAUAGCUGGUGAUAGACUCCUGUCAUCUCUUCAUGACUGUGAUGAUGCAACAGAACAACCCACAUAGACCUUCCAAGCAAACCAUCUGUAUGUCUGCAUCCCCCUGUUCUCUGAGAGAAAAAAGGAAAAGAUGAUGCAGAAGAAAUGAUGCAAGAGAAAUACCCCAUUAGACCUUCAACACAGACAAUUUGUAUGUUUGCAAAGGAAAAUGUAGCUCUGUUAUAUAGUUUAGGAAUUAAUCAUCUGAAUGAAUUCUAACAGAGAUGUCAACGUAAUGAAAGAGCACAUGUUAAGUGGGUUUUAUGUAAAGUAGGACAAAGGGACAGAGUGGUUUGCAUAAUCCAUUUUGCCUGAAGACAAAAUAAGCAGCUUGGUUUUAGCACAAUAUGGAAAAAAGGUCUCUGAGGGUCACAGAGACAAAAUAAAAAACACUACGAUGGGCCUCAUUUAUCAAUCUUUUAGUAAAGUUGUGUGUCUUUCUAAGUGGCGAAAGUGAAAGUUAUUUUAACUCACCUCUAUGCCAGUAAAAUGUAUAUUGUUGAAAAGCAUAAUAACCCAAAAUAUAGAAAAGGUGAAUUAGAUGUAAAUUAAGGGAGGCUAAUAGUAAAUGUUUUGACAUGAAAACAGAAGAAAAAAUAUAUCUGCUUUACCCUGGUGACUGUGGACUCCAAGCACGUCAUGCAGGCAAACUGCUUUUUUCAUUCAAAGCAAAGUAUCUUGGCAACUGUUGGCCAGAAUGCACCAAUAUGCCCUUCCCAGUGCCAUGUUGGAAAAGCAGGAGCACAUGUGAAUGUCAUAGGAAGCACAAUGAUGGCACAUUAAGGAGUAUCAGUGUGGAUUGAGAGUCCUUAUAAACUGUGGUUUGUAAUGGUAUGUGAACAGGUAUGUGUAUUCAGUAAGAUGGUGAACAUGAAUGUGACACUUGAUAAAGAGAAAUGUUUUCUGUAAGAACUAAAAACAGCCAUUAGACAAUCAAAGAUUUGAAUAUUUCACGUUAGUCACACUUUCACUAUCUAUGAUUUACCACUGUCUUCUUCAAAGUACUGAAUAAAAUG